rnacentral:rRNA from 1 species
CCUACGGGAGGCAGCAGUGGGGAAUAUUCGACAAUGGGGGGAACCCUGAUCGAGCGACGCCGCGUGAGUGAAGAAGUAUUUCGGUAUGUAAAGCUCUAUCAGCAGGGAAGAAAAUGACGGUACCUGGCUAAGAAGCCCCGGCCAACUACGUGCCAGCAGCCGCGGUGAUACGUAGGGGGCAAGCGUUAGACGGAUUUACUGGGUGUAAAGGGAGCGUAGACGGUGCAGCAAGUAUGAUGUGAAAGGUGGGGGCCCAACCCCGGGACUGCAUUGGAAACUGUUGAACUGGAGUACAGGAGAGGUAAGCGGAAUUCCUAGUGUAGCGGUGAAAUGCGUAGAUAUUAGGAGGAACACCAGUGGCGAAGGCGGCUUACUGGACUGUAACUGACGUUGAGGCUCGAAAGCGUGGGGAGCAAACAGGAUUAGAUACCCCUGUAGUC